rnacentral:rRNA from 1 species
CAGCAGCCGCGGGAAUACGAAGGGGGCUAGCGUUGUUCGGAAUUACUGGGCGUAAAGCGCACGUAGGCGGAUAUUUAAGUCAGGGGUGAAAUCCCAGAGCUCAACUCUGGAACUGCCUUUGAUACUGGGUAUCUUGAGUAUGGAAGAGGUGAGUGGAAUUGCGAGUGUAGAGGUGAAAUUCGUAGAUAUUCGCAGGAACACCAGUGGCGAAGGCGGCUAACUGGUCCAUAACUGACGCUGAGGUGCGAAAGCGUGGGGAGCAAACAGGAUUAGAUACCCCAGUAGUCCCUGUCUCUUAUAC